UUGGAGGGCAAGUCUGGUGCCAGCAGCCGCGGUAAUUCCAGCUCCAAUAGCGUAUAUUAAAGUUGUUGCAGUUAAAAAGCUCGUAGUUGAAUUUCGGGAUUAGUACGUUGGUCGUGCCUUAGGUACGUACUGGUGUUACUGGUUCCUACCUUCUGACGAACCAUCAUGUCAUUAAUUUGGUGUGGUGGGGAAUCAGGACUGUUACUUUGAAAAAAUUAGAGUGUUUAAAGCAGGCUCGCGCUUGAAUACAUUAGCAUGGGAUAAUGAAAUAGGACGUUGAUCCUAUUUUGUUGGUUUCUAGGAUUGACGUAAUGAUUAAUAGGGAUAGUUGGGGGCAUUAGUAUUCAAUUGUCAGAGGUGAAAUUCUUGGAUUUAUUGAAGACUAACUACUGCGAAAGCAUUUGCCAAGGAUGUUUUCAUUAAUCAAGAACGAAAGUUAGGGGAUCGAAGACGAUCAGAUACCGUCGUAGUCUUAACCAUAAACUAUGCCGACUAGGGAUCGGAUGAUGUUAUUUUUAAUGACUCAUUCGGCGCCUUACGGGAAAC
rnacentral:rRNA from 1 species